GGCAUAAGACAAGAUGGGAGAAAAUCUGAACAUGCCUGUUUGAGGGACUAGCUUCUCUGUAGGUGAACAGCUAUCCCAUCCGUGCUUCUUGUUGCUGCUGCUCAGGGGCUGGUCUGCCUCCUUCUGUAGCGCAGUCCGAUUUCUGCACUUUGCUAGCACUCAUUCUCCUGACCACUCUGGAACCAAGUGCUAUGGAGAUCUUUUCUCAAAAAAGAUUUUGAUAAAAUUCACGUUUUGCAUUUGUUCUCUCCACACCUCAGCGACAGGUAGAGAAACCAAGACUUUCUUUUAAGCAGUGAUUUUCAAAAUAUGGCCCUUUGCUUGGUUUUCCCAGCAGGCCUCAAAUGGAUCCCCCUAAACGUCAGUUUUUUGGGGGCAAGAAUCACAAGCCCAAAUUCAUCAUCAGCCAACUAUAGCUACUUUGGCCAUCGCAAUGAAUGUGGAGUUGCAAAGACUUUCUUAACAUAGAGGUAACCAUAGACAGUUGCACACUCUAUAUUACAAGCUAGACUUUAUCCCCAAUCUCCUAUGUGGUAUUUAAAUUAAGUGGGCCAAUAAAUCUUACUCUCCUGUCA
rnacentral:lncRNA from 1 species